CCUACGGGGGGCAGCAGUGGGGAAUAUUGCACAAUGGGGGAAACCCUGAUGCAGCGACGCCGCGUGAGUGAAGAAGUAUUUCGGUACGUAAAGCUCUAUCAGCAGGGAAGAAAAUGACGGUACCUGACUAAGAAGCCCCGGCUAACUACGUGCCAGCAGCCGCGGUAAUACGUAGGGGGCAAGCGUUAUCCGGAUUUACUGGGUGUAAAGGGAGCGUAGACGGCAGCGCAAGUCUGGAGUGAAAUCCCAUGGCUUAACCAUGGAACUGCUUUGGAAACUGUGCAGCUAGAGUGCAGGAGAGGUAAGCGGAAUUCCUAGUGUAGCGGUGAAAUGCGUAGAUAUUAGGAGGAACACCAGUGGUGAAGGCGGCUUACUGGACUGUAACUGACGUUGAGGCUCGAAAGCGUGGGGAGCAAACAGGAUUAGAUACCCCAGUAGUC
rnacentral:rRNA from 1 species